UUGCUCUGUGGACGGCAGAUCGGCUCAAAUUCAGAACAAAGAGGAUUGUCUGAUUAUAUAAAAUCAGAUUCACCUUUUUGGAAAAUAAAUUCUGAUUUCGGGCAAAAUUAUCAGUGGGGUGAGGGUGUGUGCAGGGGGCUGGGGGGGUUAUUUUGCAGUUUGCUUUUUUUUAGUUCACUGACUGGAACCAAAAUUCUGCAUACCUUUCAUUUUUCUACCUCUGGGUUUUAAAUUCUGCAUGGCAUCCGUAGCCAUCUACGUGGAUUCUCUGGUGCUAGUAAAGAAAGAGCCUGAAGCCCAUAUUCUUGUCACGCUGUUCUUUGUGUGCUCUGAUCUCUAAGGGUAAAUAUAGCUCUUUUGGCAGGAGCCUGCUAAGAGGAUCAUAGCUCACAAUAGGUGGUCUAAACACAACAGCAAACGAAAUGGCAAAGAACUCGCUUAUAGGCUGAUGUGCGCACAUCCACAAGGYGCACGCCCGCUCCGACACAYGCUACUGCAGCACGAACACCAAAAUAUGCAGCGACAGAUACAACGCCUUCCCUCUGAGAGGCUUCUCUUUUCCUUACCUGAAGAAAUGCCGUAUUUAGAUCAGAUUCCCGUUUCUGGACUACAAAGGAGCCCUGUAAAUAUCUCUGAACUCCCAGAUGAGGCCUGUCUCAGAGGAGCUGUGAAGAUGAUGCAGUGGACAGAGCAGAUGCAGCAAAAAAAAGAGGUUUGCAUGAAGAGGCUCAUAUUAUCUACAACUGGAAUUGGAUUCUGUWGAUAAAUACUGUCCAGGUUACAGGAUUCGUGACCCUCGGGGGCUCCUAAAUGUUGAAAAAUGGCUCCCUGAGGUCUCUGAGUCAAAGACCGUGUUGGAGCAAGUGACCUUGCAGAAGCCCACCUUCWUAAAUCCAUCAGAUGUGUUGCAGCCCCUGAGGUCUGCGCCCCAAAGAAUCCGGCUAAGCCUUACCUCCAGAUGAACAGCGUGCGGUGAAAUUCGAGACACUUAAUGAAACCGCUUUCAGCAAAAGAAACAUUUGCUCAAAUCUCUUCAAGAUUAAACGAGUAAGAAAAUCUGUUUGUGUUACGAAUGAGAAAGAUGGCUACAUUUAGUGUGGGUGUGGAGGCAUGUUGAAAGUAACUUAAAGUACUGUAACAGUACGGAUUAAUAAUGAGUCUCAUGAUAUUUUCAUGGUAUGACAACCUUGAGGUGAAAUACCACUGUAGCACCAUGUUCAUACGAAUAUAUGCGCCAUAGUUUAAGUUUUUUUAUAUGAAGCAGAAAAAUAAUCUGGCGUUGACAUUAUAUUAAUAUUCAAACAUUUAUUCACAAAUCCAUCCAAUAUAUUAGAAUAUUACUUACUGACUUACAUGAAGCAUGAUGUAUAGAUUAAUUAGACACAGGUGGAAAUUUGAAAGCCUUCAUUUUUGUUAAUUAUGGUACUUUUUCCAUUUACAGGUAAUAAAACAAGACAUUUAAAAUUAGAAUAUCACAUCAGACCAUAACAAAAAACAAAUAAAGCCGAAAYGUGGGAUAAGCGAAACGUAUGUUCACUACCUGCUUAAGGUGUGUUUUUCUCAAAAAAGUGCUUUUAAUCUGACAAACGCGACUCGUUGGAUCGCGUUUUAAAUUCACUGAAWGUGACCGCAUUAAUAUUUAAUUUGCAAACUGCAGCAUUUGUGCACGAUAUCUUACAUGUUUGUUGUUUUUGCUUUAACGAAAGCAUAAUAAGCUGCUAUUGAUUAGAUAAUUAAUUGGACUAUUUGCUCCUGUAGCCAACUUGCAGUCAGCUCCUUUACAGACUUGCCAGUGAUAGUUUUAAAAUAGUGCAAUAAAUGAUAAGCAGUGCAGUGCUUUAAUCUCCGAGCAAUGACUUUAAGUGGGKUUUUUUGCCACUGGAAACAGACAGAUUUGUCUUUCUUGUAAGUAAGGGAAAAGAGCAGUAACCUUUUCACUGAAAGCUGACCUGCAGUGUGCAGCGAUUGAUGAGGGGGGAGGGGCAGAGCUGCUUGUGCUUAUGGGGGACACUGAUACUGGUUUCGUUUGAGACAAUAUGAUAGAACAUAUCAUAACCUAUACAACAUAUGUGUGCAAACAGUAGUGUGUCGUCAGGGUAACAGACCCAGAAGGGAAACUCAAACGUCUCUUUCCUUCACAACRCUCUUCAUUUCAUUUUUCAUUGAUCCCAAAACGUUCCCAGCUCAGAAAAGAAACAUACCAUCAGGAUCUGGAUCAGGAUCUGGAGGUUUUGAGGCGUCCCGAUCAGAUGCUCCAGAUAUCUAAAGUGAUUCUUUUUGCUUUGGAGGAACAGAAGUUCUUCUCUGGGUUCUUUAACAACAAAGUAUGGGUGUUUUUCUGACACGCAUAAAAAGUGUAUCAUUGUAAAAUAUCUUUGGGGUCAGAAAUAAAAAAAAAAGAAUAAAAAAAAGAGUGCGGCUCAAUUAGAGAAGCACUGCUUUAGCAGAGCCCGCAUUCACRCAGUGUCACAAUUCCCGUGUCAGACUUUUUUCUUUCUGUAUACUUCUCUGGUAAAGUAAGGCAAUUUGUUUCUCCUGACAGAGAGAGCUGUGAGGGCGUUAGGUAACCUUCCAGCGCCUUUUGCUUGUUUCACUCCAUUUCAGACGCUGAAGCUCUCAGACUGCUGUCCUGUACUUUUAUAGAAACAUUCCCAAGACUUUGGUUUCGACAUACUAAUCUACUGCUUAUUUACUCUCCGGGCUGAAUUACCCCACAGUCCGAUGAGAUUUUAUUUCUUUUUUUCUUUUUUCUAACCAAGACCUGAGAUGGCCCUGUUCGAAGAUUGAAUGGAGAACCCGAAGGAUCGAUACAAUUCAAUAAUGUCCYUGUGGGUAUUUGUCUCAACCUGAGAUUGCUUCACCCUGCAAGUGCCGCARCUCUAUAGCUCCAAGUUUGUGACAUUAUUUUCCUAAUUCAGAUUUUAGAUCCAGGCCUUGGACACAUAGGCUGAAUUUUCUCUUUGUUUUCCUUCAGCCUGGUACGUGGGCGUUUCUAGCUGUAUGUUUGGGUGUUAGCUGCACUUUCAAAACGAGGGGUCGAAGGAAACAGGGGCUGCACCUGUUGUUCCCUGUGGCCGCUGUGUGGUGGGCUUAGCACCUGCUCGCACGGCUGUCUGUGUGGCUGUCUGUGUGGGCAACAGGGAAACCAUUCACAGCCGCUCAGACGGCUGCCUGCAGCCCCUCUCCCUCGGUGCUGGUUCGCUCGGGGGUUUUCUGCGCCAUCAUUUCUUUUUCUGUAUUUUUUUUUUUUUUUUACAUUCGCUGCCGAUCCCUGUGUGGCCUGCACACCCUGGUCGCUCUCUGCCACACUUUAUCCUUUGUACGCUCGAUCUGUCUGUCUGUGUUUCUGUCUCCCCGCAUCCUCCCUCCCUCUCGCUCCUUUUUAUUUCGUGAUGCCAGACGUUUCUCUUUUCUUUUUUUUUUUUUGGAAUAUCAACAGUAACGCAAACAUGAACACGCAGCAGCUGGGAGCUGUUACGGUCCCGCUGUUGAACUCAAUGGCUUUUAGUAUAAAAGACAAAGUUGUAGGAAGAAAAAAAAAAUCCAUACAGAGUAACAGCUAAAUCACUUCAGUAAGAGCUGAAUGUGAGCAUUUCACCCAGACCAGAGAAGUAGGGAGCGUGUGGGUGACUASAGGCAAUUURGUUAUUGUAGCUKUAAGACAUUUUGGACAAUGAGCAUAAUUCAAACUACUCUCGACUGCAGAGGCAGCUCUUUACAUGAAUGAGGGGGCUAGGCAAGACACCCCACAGCACCCAGAUGUAACCAAGUGAAAACACAUUUCUUCCUGCAACAAAGGUUAKUCUGCAAAAAAACAAAAAAGAGAAAACCAUUCUUGAACAGAAUGAUAUGUGAAACGAGUUUCAUUCUGACAUGUGCUGAAAGCCACUCAAAGAGAAAGAUGUCAUUACUGAAAAUGCAGCACAGAAGCCCAGCUCACAGUUUGUAAAUGCAUUCAGGGGCAAAAACCCUGAGAAACACGCCCCGUGGUGUGUUGAAACUAAAAUUCAAGUGUUUGCCCAUAAUGGUCGCUGGUGAACUUGAAGAACAAGAGAAGCUUGGAAGCUUGAAAACAUCAUGUCUACUGUGAAGUACAGUGGUGGCACCGUGAUGUUAUGUUGCUUUUUAAAAAAAAUAUUUUCUCAAACAAUGUCUCAAAGAAUCUCAGGUCACUCUAAAACAGUCCGGUUCAGGUUUGACCAGUCUCGAUUAGAUGAUCAGCAGCAGGUCCAGAGAGUCAGAUACCACCUUCGGCCAAGCCGGCUUCCGCGUGCGCAACACUAAAUCCCCAUCGACCGUACAUGCAAAUACAGAACGGAAAACUCGUUMAGAGGUGCAAAUAGCAGAUUAAGGGAGCAGCAGUGUACAGCUUUUACCUCCCGCGAAUGCUGCAGCCUCAGAGCUUUUCUGUCUAGCUGCGUUUCACUCAUAGAAGAACAAGCUAGAGCGACUUCUUCUGCUAACUUCUGCUAAAUGUAGAAGGUAUUCCUAGACCAAAGCUGCUGCAUGUCUUCUUUGUCCUGUCAAAAAUCCCAGUUGGUAGUGGCAGAUGGCCCCUAGCACUGAGCCAGGUUCUGCUGGGGGCUUCUUCCAGUUACAAGGGAGUCUGUCCUUUGAGAUGUCGCCGUGCGAUUGCUGAGUAUGAGUGAUUACUGCAAAGCCAGAAGCAUAAAGGACUUGAUACAUUUAAAUGGGCUUCUUUUAUGAAGGCAACAUAUUGACAACUGGCAGUAUGAACCUGUUUCCGCAGCAUGGUGGGAUGUAAUUUGAAUGCAUGCAGUUGUUUUGAUUAUUUAUUUCCACAGAAAGAUUGGAUGUGUUUGUCAUGUAAAGUGCCUUGAGAUUACAUUUGCUGUGACUUGGUGCUAAAUAAAUUCAUACAAACUCAUGGCGCCCCCGAGAUCCUGGUUCCCUGGGUGAUGAGCCACAUUGACUCCAUCUUUAAAAACAACUACUGCUCUCCCGAUUUUUCUGAAUAUGUAGCUGCAGACCUUAAGGGGGGAUGGUGGGGGGGUUGAUUUUCAAUAACUUAAAAUGUAUCAUGACUCAUUUAUUCAUAUUUAUUUCAACCUUUUUUUCCAACUAUGAUUUAUCCCGUGGAUUUCUGCCGCCUGCCCUACCCCUCUGCUGUGCURUGUGUGUGACUAAUGACAUAAUCAAUUGCCUUUAUGGCUUCCAAAUCAUCACAUCUGACCUUUUUCUGUUGUUAACAUAAAACCUUGACCAUGCACUUUAUAAGACGUCAUCAAUUUACCCAGCGGGGACAAUAAAACACAACACAUGAAGGUGACAAGGCUCGUUUAGAUCAAGACCCAUGAUCCAAAAGGGAAUUAUGAUCCAAAUAGGAUUUGUGAUCAGGCUUGGUGCUCAUCUCUAUAAUCCUAUUUUGCAUGACAAAAAUAUUACAAAAGCCCACACAGUUACAGUCAGUGUGCAACACGUGAAAGAGCCAACGACGUGCAAACAAAAGGCGUGCACAAAAUAUGUUAAUAUCACAGCAAACUUGCAGCAGACACAAAGACCAACUCGAGCCCACCAGGGUCCAGACGGUGCCGGAGACGGACCUAUUUGUUUACUUGGAGAUUAUUCAAAUGCACCAUCGCUUAGCCACUAAUAAAAACUGCGCACUUACACCUGAUCACCCCYCCUCCCCCCCACUUCCCACCUACCCACCUACAUACCACCCCGUCCUCCUCGUCUAAGCGUCUCUCAAUCCCACCAUUUG